rnacentral:rRNA from 1 species
GAACUAAUCCUAGCCCUAGCCUUCACAAAUAUAAUUACAUCAUUUCAUAAAUCAAAACAUUUAACCCACUAAAAGUAUUGGAGAAAGAAAUUCGUACAUCUAGGAGCUAUAGAACUAGUACCGUAAGGGAAAGAUGAAAGAUCAAUUAAAAGUAAAAAUAAGCAAAGAUUAAACCUUGUACCUUUUGCAUAAUGAAUUAACUAGAAAACUUCUAACUAAAAGAAUUACAGCUAGAAACCCCGAAACCAAACGAGCUACCUAAAAACAAUUUAAUGAAUCAACUCGUCUAUGUGGCAAAAUAGUGAGAAGAUUUUUAGGUAGAGGUGAAAAGCCUAACGAGCUUGGUGAUAGCUGGUUACCCAAAAAAUGAAUUUAAGUUCAACUUUAAACUUGCUAAAAAACAAUAAAAUCAAAAAGUAAGUUUAAAUUAUAGCCAAAAGAGGGACAGCUCUUUUGGAACGGAAAAAACCUUUAAUAGUGAAUAAUUAAUAAAUCAACCUUUAACCAUUGUAGGCCUAAAAGCAGCCACCAACAAAGAAAGCGUUCAAGCUCAACAUAAAAUUUUAACUAAUCUCACAAUUUACAUCAACUUCCUAAACUUAAAAUUGGGUUAAUCUAUAGUUUUAUAGAUGCAACACUGUUAGUAUGAGUAACAAGAAUUCUAAUUCUCCAGGCAUACGCAUAUAACAACUCGGAUAACCAUUGUUAGUUAAUCAAACUAUAGGCUAUACUUAUAAUAUAAACAAUUUACCUAUAACUACUCUGUUAACCCAACACCGGAAUGCCUUAAGGAAAGAUCUAAAAAGAUAAAAGGAACUCGGCAAACAAGAACCCCGCCUGUUUACCAAAAACAUCACCUCUAGCAUAACAAGUAUUAGAGGCACUGCCUGCCCAGUGACUAAAGUUUAACGGCCGCGGUAUCCUGACCGUGCAAAGGUAGCAUAAUCACUUGUUCCUUAAUUAGGGACUAGCAUGAAUGGCUAAACGAGGGUUCAACUGUCUCUUAUCUUUAAUCAGUGAAAUUGACCUUUCAGUGAAGAGGCUGAAAUACAAUAAUAAGACGAGAAGACCCUAUGGAGCUUAAAUUACACGACUUAUCUAUUCAUUUUAUAAACCUAAUGGCCCAAAAACUAUAGUGUAAGUCUGAAAUUUCGGUUGGGGUGACCUCGGAGAAUAAAAAAUCCUCCGAAUGAUUAUAACCUAGACCUACAAGUCAAAGUAAAAUCAACAUAUCUUAUUGACCCAAUACAUUUUGAUCAACGGACCAAGUUACCCUAGGGAUAACAGCGCAAUCCUAUUUAAGAGUUCAUAUCGACAAUCAGGGUUUACGACCUCGAUGUUGGAUCAGGACAUCCCAAUGGUGUAGAAGCUAUUAAUGGUUCGUUUGUUCAACGAUUAAAGUCCUACGUGAUCUGAGUUCAGACCGGAGCAAUCCAGGUCGGUUUCUAUCUAUUUACAAUUUCUCCCAGUACGAAAGGACAAGAGAAAUAGAGCCACCUUACAAAUAAGCGCUCUCAACUUAAUUUAUGAAUAAAUCUUAAUAAAAUAUGUAUGUACAUCCUCUAACCUAGAGAAGGUUAU